GGAGGAAGAAUUGAGCGGUUAGGGAAAGAAACAGAUUGAAGAAGAUGAUGAAUGUGAGGUUGAGAGAAUGAAUGAAGACCAAACUCCUUUUGGAUCAAGAGUGAAGGUUUGGCUAUGGAGUUUGGAGUUUGGUGAAGGUGGUUGAUGAAUUGAAUAGAGGAAGAAGAUGGAAGACGAAGAAACGAGAGGUUAGAGGAUCCUCCAAUUUCUGUUAUUUUUCUGUUAUGGAUCCUCCCUUUUUCUGUUAUGGCUUUGCACUAUUUAUAGUGAUGAAAGUAUGAAAGAGUUCUGUUAGAUUUUGUUUAGAAAAAUCUGUUAGCUUUUUCUGUUUAUGCAGGAAAUUAAUCAUUUUGUUUUAUGCAGAAUUUUAAUUGUAUGCAGAAUUUUAAUAAUGCAGAAUUUUAAUUGUUGAAUUUUAUGAUGCAGAAUUUUUAUGAUGCUGAAUUAUGCAGAAUUUGAAUUAUGCAGAAUUUUUGUUUUGGAAUGCUUUAUGGCUUGUGAUGCAGAAUUUUUAUGAUGCUGAAUUUUAUGAUGCAGAAUUUCAUGCAGAAUUUUUGAUGUGAAUUAUGCAGAAUUUGAAUUAUGCAGAAUUUUUGUUUUGGAAUGCUUUAUGGCUUGUGAUGCAGUGGCUGUAGCAUUUGGAAGUUGUGAUAAUUGCAGCAUUUUCAAUUCCAUCGCCUCCUUUUCUUGUAACAGCUUUUUACAUUGUUUUCUUUUCAAUUUUUCUUCAAUGUAUAUUAAUAAAAUGUAAAAUGGAUAUUUAGAUGAUAGUUACUAAU
rnacentral:lncRNA from 1 species